rnacentral:lncRNA from 1 species
GGGAAAGAAUAAAAGUACAUGCAUACACAUUCAGCCGUGGAUAUGAUUCUAUACUCAACAAUGUCUAUGCGCUUUGCCAUUCCUGUUAUGCGCUGACAAGGACCAUAAUUCAGUUCAAAGAAAAAAAAGAAGCCAAGCACAAGAUCAUCUCCAUAUUCAUACAACUUGGUUUUCUUCAUGUUACCAUGAUUCAACACUUUACAUUUAGAAACCAGAAGUUAAUUUUAAUCUUUCAUGUUCAAAUUCGGGCCAAGUAUAAUUCUAAAGUUCAACAAUUAACACACUAUUCCAAUAGUAAUACUUGAAUAUUUAAACUCAAAUCCUGGAAGCUUAAGAGUUAGGUUUGCAUUG